AUAUUUUGAGAUACUAUAUAUAUAUAUAUAUAUAUAUAUAUAUAUAUAUAUUUAUAUAUAUAUAAACAGAUAUUAUAUAUACAUACAUGUAAUAGAUACGUAAGCGGGAUGAAAAAAUUGCUUACCGCGCCAUAUAAUUUACCAGUAUUACUAUUGUUAUUGCUAUUAUUGCAAAUUUCAAAGUGUAGAUGGAUAUAAUCCUUUAAAUCUUAGGAUAUUAAUAAAGUCGAGUGAUUACUUGCAAUAAUAUAUGUAUACUAGGAAGCGAAGUUUAGUAAUGAAUUCAUAGAGACACCAACUUUUGACGAUCGUAUAUCGUGAUUUGACACAACAAGAAGUGUAAUUGAUCAGAAAUAUAAAUUUACAUUUUCAUAUUUUUUAA